rnacentral:rRNA from 1 species
UACGUAGGGACCAAGCGUUGUUCGGAUUUACUGGGCGUAAAGGGCGCGUAGGCGGCAUGACAAGUCACUUGUGAAAUCUCCGGGCUUAACUCGGAACGGCCAAGUGAUACUGUCGCGCUAGAGUGCAGAAGGGGCAAUCGGAAUUCUUGGCGUAGCGGUGAAAUGCGUAGAUAUCAAGAGGAACACCUGAGGUGAAGACGGGUUGCUGGGCUGACACUGACGCUGAGGCGCGAAAGCUAGGGUAGCAAACGGG